AUACGGAGGGGGCUAGCGUUGUUCGGAAUUACUGGGCGUAAAGCGCGCGUAGGCGGAUCGUUAAGUCAGGGGUGAAAGCCCGGAGCUCAACUCCGGAACUGCCCUUGAUACUGGCGAUCUCGAGUCCGGGAGAGGUGAGCGGAAUUCCUAGUGUAGAGGUGAAAUUCGUAGAUAUUAUGAGGAACACCAGUGGCGAAGGCGGCUCACUGGCCCGGUACUGACGCUGAGGUGCGAAAGCGUGGGGAGCAAACAGGAUUAGAAACCCCUGUAGUCC
rnacentral:rRNA from 1 species